GCAAAGGCAAUGGACAAUAACAUUGGUGCAGGCUUAGUAACAAUUACUCUUGUAUGGUUGUCUAUUUACAAUAAACAUUAUAGUGCUGUCAAAAUGAAUGAUUAAUCCAAGUGUUUAAUCAAAAACUAAAAAUAACUCAUAAUCCUGAUACCUUCUAGAUUGAUAGCUUCCUGUAUUUGCUACAUACGUCUGCUAUGUCCAGUGUGUGUGUUUACAAAGUUGGUAUAGCCUAGAUAUCACAACAUUGUCAAUCGCGUCGUCAAUCACAAAUGAUAAUUUAUUAAAACGUCUCGCUACCGAACUACCUACAGUAGCUUAAUUUGCGGAGGACGAAGAGAAAGCACCCAUUUGGUAAAUGAGCCAGUGAGAAGUAAUAACUUUUAAGUAGGGUCCAGUGCCUUUUCGAUACUUUUAUAAUGGUACCGGCGCCUAAACGGUGCCUGAACCGAUACUUAGAAAAAAGAACCACAAAAAAAAAAACAA